CCAUCCCUCAAGCCCGGCUUGGGUGUUGGGCCGUCGUCCCCGUUUCCCGGGGGCGGGUCCGAAAUGCAGUGGCGGUACCGGUUCGGUCCUGGAGCGUUAUGGGGCUUUGUCACUCCGCUUUGCAGGAUCCGGACCGGUGUUUGCCCCCCAAAGGUCUUCCUCUCA
rnacentral:misc_RNA from 1 species